CCUCAGGCUCCCGGGGGCACUAACAGGGCACCUGCGCCCCGGGGAGAGUGCGCCGAGCUCCCUAAAGGGCUGCAGCGCCCAUGGCUGGACCCCGGAGCAGCU
rnacentral:pre_miRNA from 1 species